rnacentral:lncRNA from 1 species
GCAUACCGCAGCCAAUAGAGAGAGUCUGGGGCGUGGCUACUGUAGCAGAGCUGACUGAGCCAGAGGGUGUUGUUUAGCCGGAGUGGGAAGAUUAGGCACUUAAAUUCCGUCACAGAAGUGCAAGCCAAAAUUCGAAGACUUGCCAAAAUCCUCAGAGACAGACAAGGGUAAACAUUGGCAGCGUUUUUACAAGAUGGAGAAAUUUGAUGAAAUGUUUGUGUUUCAAUCGAUUAGACGAACUCGCUGAGUUUCUUCUCGACGGGGUGACACUAUAGUAGCGCAGAGACUGCCUAGCGUACCUUUAAUGCACGCUGGAGACGCAGUGACCUCCCCAGGACAUGACGAGCAAAAUCCAUCAGCUGGCCCGUGGAAUUUGCCUUAAUUGGUUUUUACAGUCAUACCUUCUUUAAUAUAAUUGGACUGUCAUAUAAGGGUUAUCCUGGUUGUUAUGCUUGGCUAUUUUUACCCUGUUUAUUGUAAGUCAAUUCAGUUCCUGGAAGAUCCUUUAAUGCUCUGACUUGCAUGUCCAAUAUUAUUAGGUGCUAUGAGUUCAGCUUGUGCAAAUCGCUUAAUGCAUAAGUCGGUAAGAGGCUCUGUGCUAGCAGGUCAGACUGAAGGUACAGCAGAUUAAUAUUUGA